CUCCUGCGGAGAAGACCCAGAGCUGGACCCCCAGGCCCCUCCUGACCCGGUCCCUCUUUCAGAGCCUCAGCCCCAGAAUCUCCCCCUUGAUUCCUGGGUCAUUCUCUAUCUGGACGGAGCUCUCCCUCUGUCUCACGUUAUCCUUAUUUUGUCUAUAUUUAAGGAUUCUGGCAUCUUCUCGGGGGCCCGUUUCUCUUAUCUGCAUCCCUAACGGGACUGGAUUAAUUUAUGUCUCAGGUUCCCUCAUCCCUGAGCCCACGUCCAUCUCCCAUGUGACAAGGCCAUCCUGGGGCGAGCAAGGUGACCCCGAGGGGGGCAUUUUGGCUUCCUGAUUUUGCAGGUGAUGUACCUCAUUCUGGAGGAAGUUGAGGGAAGGUGAGGCUUGUCUGCAGGCAUGCGGGCCUGGCACUGAGCUGGGGAGGGGGAGGGGAGGCCUGGGUGUCCAGCCCUCACUCAUCUGUCUCCCUAGGCUCAGCUCUCACCACUGAGGCCAACGGGAGGCAGCAGGGCCCAGAUUUAGGGGAGGUUGUCUGUGCUGUCGUCCUGUCCUGUCCAAAGGCCCAGCAGCUUCUUCCAAGCCAGUCCUAAGGGGGUCAUGAGGAAGGGGUGUCCAAUAUCUCCCGUAUCCCAUAACCACUCUACUGGACAUGCCAGGGAGCAUCUCCAACCUCAACCACCACAGAGCAGCGGAGAGGGUGAUGCAUUAGCAGCUUAGACUAGGGGACUGGGAAGGGCAUGAGGGACAAGGCAAGUAUCCCUGGCACUGCCUGGGUCCCUGGAAGAGGGGUCACUGGAUGUCCCCUCCUCCACAGCAUAGAUGCCCUGCUCCCCUUGUCCAGCAGAAGGAGGGGAGUUCUUGCUUCCCUCUGUAUCCACCACGACCCCCCACAGGAGGAGAGGACACAGCCAGCUGGGCUCCAUGUUCUGGGCUCUGUCACCUUCUCAGUCUGUCCUGAAUCAGAAAAUACAUGACGGUCCAUUUUAAUCUCUCAGGCAGCUCUGCUGUCCAGGGACUCAGACGUUCCCAGAAUCAAGGGCCACAGUAGAGGCGGUGCAGAAGGACAGGUGCAGGAAGCUGAUUUGCAUGGAGACCCCUCCCUCCUCUGUGGGGGAGGGGAUACGGAGGUCUGGGGGCCCAGGCCCAGGGCUGGGGUCUCAGAAGGCAGCUUCUGGGGCGUAUCUGCCAUGGCCUGGGCUCUGCUUCUUGUCACCCUCCUCACUCAGGACACAGGGUACCGCCUUGACUCAGCCUCCCUCAGUGUCUGGGAAUCCGGGACAGAUGGUCACUCAUCUCUUAUGCUGGAACCAGCAGUGAGAGCAGGGGUAGCAGUUAUGUUAGCUCUUAACAACAGCGCCCGGGCACGGCCCCCAAAACCUUGAUUUAUCAGGUCAGUAAGUGGCCCGCAGUGAUCCCUGAUCGCUUCUCUGGCUCCAAG